AACGCGAAGAACCUUACCAAGGUUUGACAUGCAGGGAAAAGCCGUAGAGAUAUGGUGUCCGUAAGGGUCCUGCACAGGUGGUGCAUGGCUGUCGUCAGCUCGUGUCGUGAGAUGUUGGGUUAAGUCCCGCAACGAGCGCAACCCUUAUCUUCAGUUGCUACCAUUUAGUUGAGCACUCUGACGAAACCGCCUCGGAUAACGGGGAGGAAGGUGGGGAUGACGUCAAGUCCUCAUGGCCUUUAUGUCCAGGGCUACACACGUGCUACAAUGGCCGGUACAAACCGUCGCAAACCCGCGAGGGGGAGCUAAUCGGAAAAAGCCGUCCUCAGUUCGGAUCGCAGUCUGCAACUCGACUGCGUGAAGCUGGAAUCGCUAGUAAUCGCGGAUCAGAACGCCGCGGUGAAUACGUUCCCGGGCCUUGUACACACCGCAUAC
rnacentral:rRNA from 1 species